GACGAACGCUGGCGGCGUGCUUAACACAUGCAAGUCGAACGGAAAGGCCCUGCUUUUGUGGGGUGCUCGAGUGGCGAACGGGUGAGUAACACGUGAGUAACCUGCCCUUGACUUUGGGAUAACUUCAGGAAACUGGGGCUAAUACCGGAUAGGAGCUCCUGCUGCAUGGUGGGGGUUGGAAAGUUUCGGCGGUUGGGGAUGGACUCGCGGCUUAUCAGCUUGUUGGUGGGGUAGUGGCUUACCAAGGCUUUGACGGGUAGCCGGCCUGAGAGGGUGACCGGCCACAUUGGGACUGAGAUACGGCCCAGACUCCUACGGGAGGCAGCAGUGGGGAAUAUUGCACAAUGGGCGGAAGCCUGAUGCAGCAACGCCGCGUGCGGGAUGACGGCCUUCGGGGUGUAAACCGCAUUCGCCUGUGACGAAGCGUGAGUGACGGUAAUGGGUAAAGAAGCACCGGCUAACUACGUG
rnacentral:rRNA from 1 species